AAUUAUACCUCACAUUAUACAUGUAUCAAAGUGUUAUCUUACUGGGCAUUAGCUCAUGAAGUCCUUACAUUGUAGGUAACGAUGACUAGGCAAGUUGAUACCAAGUCCCAAUCGAGGCGAAGUGCAUAUGCACAUAACAAACCUUAAGUUUUAUGAUGUGAUUGGCUUUGAUUCUAUUAAAAAAAUAAUAAAUAUCUUAACUUUAUGUAAUAAUAAAGUUUUUGAGAUAUAUACUAAGGAAUCUCUGCAUGUUUCCUACAUUUUGUAACGAAGUUUUGAUUACUAUGUAAAACAUUUUUAGAGUCCGUAUUAAUAAUAAAAAGGAACGAGGUUUUAAAUAUUUCUAAACUAAAUCAUUUAUUUUUAGUUAUAAAAGUGGAGUGUUACAAAAACAAAACGUUGGAUUUUGUGAGUAGGUGAUGGAAACAAAAUCACAAUGUUGUUUGUAACCAUUAGAUUCAAUGUUGUUGCCUUUAUGCAUGUUGAACUCCAACUUGCGUUGGAGUUCAUGAAGCUAAAUGAGAUGACCUACCCUGAACUCUGAUGUCUUUUUAGUUUCAUCGAACAUUACUAGAUAAACUUAUCAAUAAGGAUUUUGCUAAAACUUCAAUAUUCUCCCUUAAAUGAUCUCAUCCAAGUAUCACCUAACAUCUCAAAAGUAUCAAAAGAGUAUAUUGCAGUUGAUGCCAACAUAUAUUAAAAAUUCAUAAUCAUCAAAUCAUAAUAUAAUUAUACAAUCUAGAAAGAGAUUAUCAAAAUCCACUAAUAAUAUAAUACAUUUCUCCAAGCACCAUCACAUGCUGGAACACAAAAUAACUAUAAUCGUUGGGUUAACUGAUGCACUUACAACCUUUGGUUUGGCGGAGGGGCGAGGAAGGGGGAAUUUAGUAAAAUGGGGUGAAUAUAAAACUCAAUAAUAGGUUUUGAAAAUAAAUUUACUUUAAUAUAAUCAUAUUAUUGCGAUAUAAAGUUCCAUUAAACUAUUUAUAAAAAGAUGUAAAAUAUUUAAACUUUAGAUCAAGUAACUAGCAGUAAUAAUGAAUACAUGAUAUUGUACAUAACAAUCAUGAAAAUGAUAUGAAGAAAGAUCAUGUAUACAUGAUUCUAAACUGGCACAAAAUAAGUACCUAGAGUAAUAAUCUCAUCAUGUUUGGACCUUACAUGAGCAGUGGAAUGACAUACUUAAAGUGUACUAUCAUGUCAAGAGAUACAAUAGGUAAACCAAUGAAAUAUUAUCUCAUAUAUCUCAUCAUAUCAAUAACACGUGUAAAGUAGCCCACAAAGGGCAAAAACACCCAGCACACAGCCCAAAACCUAUGUCUAUUUAGUUGGUCCAAAUUCCUCUAUCUCAAUUUUAUCUCUGUACUAUAUUUGUAUAAUUGAAUAUCUAUAGCUGUAUUUCUAUACUCAUCUAUAUAUCUAGAGGCAAAGCGUACUAUCUAAUGAUUUUGAAAAUAAACUUUUAUACAUACGUAAAUAAAUAUUUUAAACAUCCUUUAAAUCUACACUUCUUUUCACUAAAAUAUGUUCAUGCGCUUAUAAUCAAAUAUAAAUAAAGAAAAUCAUUUAUCAUAUCCCUUGAGAAACGUGAUGAGAACCAUCAAGGGAAUACCAUUAAAGCUUCAAGUGAUCCUUUGCACAUUCAUAGAGGCCCAAUUACAAGAGCUAGAGCCAAAAAGAUGCAAGCUGCAUUAAAUGGAUUAAUUGAGAAAAUAUGGAUUGAAAAUGCAAUUCAAGAUGCAAGACAUCAUGAAUUGGGCUUGGAGAGAAGACAAGGCAUUGUGGGCAUUAUUCAAGCUAUUGGGCAGCCAAAUACACAAUUUGGAUCAAAUGUAGAAAGGGCAAAUUCGGAAUAUAUCUGGUAUUGAUUGACCCAGAUUUAAUGUGCAAGCUAUAUACCGUUGGAAAGAUAAUUAAGUUAGCUUUCCAAUGCAUUUUACAGAGCUGGAUUUGGAAUUCUCUAAAAGGAGUUAUGAUCAAUUUAUUACAGCUUGUUCAGGCUUGGGAAUUCAAAUGACUCCUUUGAUUAUUCAACUUCAUUUAUAUGUUGUGUCAAGUUUAUCAAUGUGUUAGGUAAGUCUAUCAUUAAUAAUAGUGGGUUGGUGAAGGCUUUUAAAGCAUCAUUUGACAAACCUACACUUGGAAGGUUGUUCCAGUGUUUCCCUUUGUAUUUUUAGGAUCUUGGGUUUCUUUUAGCCUAUUUAAACUCAGCAACCUUGCUAUGUAUGAUAAUUAAGAGAUUAAUGUUAUUUGAAUUUGAAAGAUUAUUCUUUCUUUGGUUCUUUUGAUAACUAGUGAACUUAUCAAGAAUUUGCAUUCCUGUGGCGUUCCAAAUUUAGACUUAUCACUCACCUUCUCAUCUAUUUCUUAAGUGUGGUGUCAAUAUCAUUCUCUAUACCUUUGGUUCAUGCUUUUCUUAAUCAUUGGGUCAAGGUUUUGUUUGUCAUAAAUCUGUUUAGAACUUUCUUGGGAAGUUGAAACUACAAUUUAAGUGUGUGUUUCAAAGUUUCAUUGUGGGAAUUUCGUAUCAAAAUGCAUCCAUACAAAAAGAAAUAUAUAUCUAGAAAACUUAACUAAAGCAUCAAACAUUGCUUUCUAAUUCAAGCGUGAGCACACAUACACGCACAUACAUAUGUAGUGAGCGUGUGUGUGUAUUAUGAGAAAUUAUCUUUGCAUCACAUUUUUUUUUAAGUUUGUAUUAAUGUACCACUUUAACAUUAAAAAAUAACCAUUGCACCUCUAAAUAAAUCAAAAGACUAUUUUAUUCCACAAAAUUUUAAAAAAUAAAAAUAAUAAUUACAAGAAUACCCUUGAAUUUAAUAAAAUAAAUAAAUCUCAAAUCCAACAUGUUAAUUUUUUAUAAUUAUAAUUUCAUUUAAAAAUUAUCAUGUUAAUUUUUUGUAAUUAUAAUUCCAUUUAAUUUGUAUAAUGAAGUUUCAUAAUAUUAAUUAUAAGGAAGUUUACAAUAGUUAUGGGGAGCUUUCUCUCCAUGUUAAUUUUUGUAAACUUCCCUAUACUUAAUUUAAUUAUAAAAAUUAAAUGAAAUUAUAAUUACAAGUUGUUAAUUUUUUUAUAAUUAUAAUUUUAUUUAAAUAUUAUCAUCUUAGAUUUUGAGAUUUAUUAGUUUAUUGAAUUUAGGGGUACGCUUGUAAUUAUAAUUUUUUUUUUCAAAAAUUUUAUAGAAUAAAAUAAUAUUUUAAUUCAUUUAGGGGUAAAAUAGUUAUUUUUAGUGUUAAAGUGGUUGAUUGAUAUAAGUUUAGAAACAAAGUUGAUGUAAAGAACAUAUCAAAUUUUUAUGGUAGUUAAAUAUAUAAAUAACAAAAUAAAGAUUGUGUAAAGAUAAUUUCCUUAUAUUUAUAUAUAAAGCUUUUACAUGAAUGAGCUUUUUUCAUAAUGAAUAUUGGGUUUUUUUAAUGCUUUAGCCCAAGGACAAAAAAUAAAAGAUUAUAGAAAGGAUCCCUCUAACAUACAUUUAAUGUAUGUUACAACCACUCACAUAAACAAUUAAUGGUGUUGGAUUCACUCACUGUUUAUGUGAGUGGAGUAACAUACAUUAAAUGUAUGCUAGAAAAGGAGCAUGCGUUACAAUAUAUAUAUAUUUUUUGAUUGGGCGCAUACGUUACAUUAACCCUAAAGAAUUCUGAUUGCGAAUUUGGCCCACAAUUGAGUGAUAUGGAUUUGAUGUUGCAGUGAAGAAGAUGGCAAUUGGAAUUAACUUUGACAGUGAUUCUGCUUUGACAAACGCAUAGAAUGUGAUUUGAAGAUGGAAGUACCAGAUGCCAUCACAAUAAAUGAUUACACAGGUUGUUGAUUAUUUAUUUGUAAAAAUGAUGCGAAUUCGUAUAUCAGCUCUGGAUACUGCAAAUUUUACGGAUUCGAGUUAGAAUUAGAAAUUUUAUUUUCCCCCUAUUUCUAGCUCCAAUCUAAAUCAAACCAAACUGGAAUCCAAAUUAUACUCGACCAGUUCUAAUUAACUUAGUUUAUAUUGAAUUAGUUCAAGUCUUGCAAGACUGAUUAGUUUAGGCUCAAAUUGGUUUUUUAAGGUUUAAUUGAUAUUUUUUAAAGGGUUAAUUUCAACGUAUUCCCUAGUGAAAUGACAAUAUUUAAAUUAUCCCCUUAUUUUUAAAAACAUCAUGUUAUUCUUAAAAAUCACAUACACACUCUCUCUCUAUUAUUUUUAAUGACCAAAAGGUUAAAUAAUAUUUGUACAUUCUCCUAAUAGUCAAUUAACAAAAAAAGAUCAAACCUUUAUGUAGAUUAAAUUUCAAGGGUCCAAUUCUUUCUAAGUUUUCAAAAACACACAUAUAUAUUUCAAAUAUGAAUAGUAUGCACCCAAAUACUCUAAAAAAAAUUCAUUUUGUACCCAUCAAAAUCCAUGGAAUAAGUAUAUUUGCAAAUUAGCUCACACCUAAAAGGAUGAUUUGGAAAUGAAACUAUGGAACAACUUGAAAGGUUUUUUAAUCAGGAUGCAGCUAAUGAAGAAAAUCUCUUUGAAAAUGCACUUUGUUUUAGGUUGCUACGACAUAAUGACUUACAAGCUUGCAUGGGGGUGGGGGGGUUAAUAAAUAUUUCAAGAAAUUUAUUGAUAAGAAUGGAAGCUGAAGGAAUCCAUGUCAAAAGAUACACAAAGUAUGUUGAGUUUAUAUAAACACCUUACUUGCCAAUAUAAGAUGAGGACAUAUUAUUUCAAGCCAAUGAAUUCACAAGAAUUGAACUCACACAGUCCACAUCACUUAUGGAUUUACCCAAUUUGUAGAUUGGCACACGAAUCCAUGCCCCUGUAUGGCCAAUGCAUCCACACAGUCAAGACAACCAAUGUCAUGGCUGGGCACAACCAAGGCAACCAAUGUCACGGCUGGGCACAGCCAUGGCAGCGAAACCCAUGGUUGCGUACGGCUAAUGCAACUAAAUCCAUGGCCGUGCACCCAAACCCUUGGCCAGGCACAGCCACGGCAACCAAAACUGUAUUUUUAUUUUAUUAAUUUAAAUAAUAUUUUUUAAAAUUAAAAUCAUUAGUUAACAAAACUAUUAAAAAAAGAUAUUUUUAUACUUUAACAAGUCAAUAGUAAUCAAUCGUUAAGUUAACGAUUAUCAGAGAUAACUUAAUAUUUUCAAUAGUGAGAGGCAAUUUGAAAAUUGUCAUUUUACGAGGGGGCAAGUCAAAAUUACCCCUAUUUAAAAAAGAUCAAAUUGAAUUAAAGUGCUUGCCACUAUAUUUGAAGAUUAAUGUUAGUCAAUAAUUAAAUCUAACAGAAAUAAAGAGUAGGUUGAAGUUUAUGUUGGGUUUGGUUGAAACUUAUAAAAACAUCUAAAGGAAAAUAAAAUUAAUGCUUCACAUUAAAGGGAAAGUUAUAGAAAAUAGCCUUAUGCCUUUAUAAAAUAAUCAUUCUAAAUAAUCAUUCUCCACUACUAGUGGUUCAAUUCGGUUAUAAAAAUUAAAAAAUCAAUCGAAAAUAAAAAAAUUAAAAAUAAAAAGAAAUUUAUAAUUUAAAAUUAAAAAAUCAAAUCGAACUGAAAAUCAAAUCAAAAAUUGAGAUUAUGAUUACUAAAAAACCAAUUGGUUUAGACCGAAAUCAAAUUGAACCGAACCGAAAGUUCGAGUUUUUGCCAACCCAUGCCAAACAUUCAAAGAGGCAAAAAUUGCCAAUUACGUCCUCAAUCAUUUCUACUUAAAAAUAUGUCAUACUUGAGGGAGUUAUAAAUAAAAACUAGCCAUCUUUGAUUAUAGAGUGGGUAGGUGUGUGUAGGUCCAAAAUUUGAGUUGGUACAGCAGUACAGCUGUUAGAACAAUUGCAGCGGCACAAGAGACGGGACGGAGGCAGCAAAUCCAGUAACAUGGCAUGGGUAACCAACGCAGCUGCUGCUACGACGGCUACUAAUUUGUUUGUUCCAAAAUCAUCAUGUGCGUAUUGGUAUUGGAGCAGUAACAAUUACAAGAAUGAGUUGAGACUCAGCCGGAGAACCGGAUCCGUCGGCCUUGUGUAUUGCAGCAGCCACAGCAGUAAUACUGCAAAUAAUAAUGAUAAGAACAAAGGAGUGCCGAAUUCAAAUUAUGUGGUGCCGCUGGAGAAGUCAUUUUCUUCGGCAAACUCAUCUUACAUGACUCGCCCAUUGGUUGAGAUCCUUCGUGAUCUCAACAAGAGGAUUCCCGAUAACAUCAUAAAUCCUUCUGAUAAUACUUCCUCCACUUUCAUUUCCUGGUAAUUUUAUUUUUAGUUUUAUUUUUUUUUCAGUUUGUUCGCUAAUUUGAUGGUCUGAUCCGAUCCGAUCAUCUCUGUUCGUAGGUAUAAUGCCAACAGGAUGUUGAGUUUCUAUGCCCCUGGUCUGUUGGCUUUCUCUUAACCUAAUUAAUUAAUUAUUCUUAAUUUUUUUUCAGUGAAACUAAUUUUUUUAUUAAUUUGAUUUCUAAUUUGAUUUUUUUUUGGCAGGUUGGUGUGGGGAAGUACGUGAUGUGAUAUUCUCUGAGAACGGAAGUGUCACUGUAGUUUACCGAGUCACCUUAAGAGGAUCUGAUGGAGAGGUGAUUUUCUUUGUUUCUUUUAUAAUUUAUCAAUUUAGUUGCAAUCUUCAAAUUUUUUUGUUCGUUAUUUUUUUAUAAGGUUGCUUUGCUUUUGGAAAUCAUAGAUAUUAUUCCUCAUACCUUUUCUCGUAGUUGAUGAUGUUCUCCCAUUGAUAUUUGUUUGGUGUAAAUUCCAAUGAAAUAUUUCAAAACAGUUUCAAUAUGGCUGCUCUUUGUAAGUCUACACUGUGGAAGCAAAUUAUCUAACAUGUUAAGGGUCUUAAAAUUUAGUGAUUUUGGGAGAAGUUUUGUUGGACCCAAAUGCAAGGAAUUGAUAUUGUUUCAUCAAACUCAUCCUAUCAUCUCCAUCCCCAUGUUUUCUAAAACAGAUAGAACAUGUCAGAUCAAACAUCCAUAUUUCCAUGGAAAAGUUUGAGUUCAUAGUUUUUUUUUAUCCUUUUUCUGUCAGUGCAUUCUUUUAGCAGCUGUGUGGACAUUCCUUGGUUGAUAAUAUCCAAUUCUAGCGUCAAACCCCAGAGAAUUAGUUGAUUCUAGUCCAUGGCAAUUUGCAAACUUAAGAUUUCUUUUCCCUUAAUUCAGUCCCUGCAACAUUACAUUUUUUUAAAAAUAAAAUAUGUUUUCGACCUUAUCUGACUUUGUAAUUCUAACCAAACAGCCCAAGAAGUGGUGAAUUGGGGUUUCUAAAAGUUUCUUCAAUAAUAAUCACAAAUCAACCAUUCCAACCACCAAAACCAACAAUAAUAGUUACAACAAUUGAUAUAAAGAGAUAGGGGUAGAGAAAAUGAACACAGAGAGUUUUACGUGGUUCAGUAAACUUGCCUACGUCUAUGCCUCCAGGCGAUUCAAACUUGAGGAUUCCACAAACCAAGUCCUAUAUCCUAAGGUUUCAAAAUGUAUACGACUUCAAUGGUGUCAUUGAACCUUUAUAAUCUAGAGAUGAUCCCACCUCUUUACCUAAGUGUUUCCCACACGUACAACUUUUUAAUCUUGCAAAUAGAAAUGAUUCUUACAAAAUCAAACUACUUGCAAGAGUGUAUAAGCAAGUAAUAGUUCAAUAAUGAAUCAAUGUAUGUAAUAACAAGUGAAAGCUCAAGUAUGCUUAGAAUGAUCAUGUCUUAGCUUGGCAAAAUUUAUGAAUCGAUUUUAUAGAUGGAUCAAGAAACUAGCUAUUGCUCUCUCAAAAUAGGACAUUCUGUGUGCAAUUGGAUUGCCAAUAACUUUGAAGUGGAUAGUUGCUUGCUGAUGUGGCAUCUUACUGUUGAAGCGAUUUGGAAGCCCAAAUUGAUCACUGCUAAAAAAUAAGCAGAUAGCCAUUUCAAAGAUAGAAUGUAAUACGUCGUUAAUAGAUGGUUGCUAACUGGGAGGAGGAUGAUCACUAAUUCUAAUUUCUCAAUUUUUAAGAUUUUACAAUUUAUCCUUAAAACUUCAUAAAAUUUGAGAUUGGCCAAAUAUCUUUUCCAGAAUUUCAGCAAUACUUGUAUGAUUUCAUGAUUUCCGAAACUCUUGAAAUUAGCCCAUAUAGAAGACAAACAUUUUGAUAAAAACAUUAAUUUCCCUUUUUCUUCAAGCAUAGAAACUUUAUAAUUAUGAAAACAAUGAUAGAUUUAAAUGCCAUAAUCAUGAUAAUAAGUUGAGCUUUUAAAUAUUUACUCAUGCUCACAUUUACUCAUACUAGCUUAUUAGAAAUGUGACAAGAAAGAUCACCUAAGCUACUAUCCUUGAUGGUUGUCCAUGAAUGCUUUGAACUUAAUCUCGCAUGGAUGAUUUUUGUCCUUCAAGAGCUAGUUAGAUUGAAAAAAUAUGUUUUCUAUUUUACUCGACAUGUGGUUUGUUAUCAUCAAAAUCAAGAUUUGUAUAACCUUUAGGUCAACAGACUUGUUGCUACUGUCUUGCGUUGUCAAUUUAGAUCUAGUCUUCAAUCUCCCUACUAGGUACUAUGCACCCUUAUGACCCAACCAAGACAAAGGGCCAUAAAAUCCACCGUAGUUAGAUUUUCUUACCAACAACCUAGAUGCUAAUCCAUCUCAAAAUUUAUGUAUUCCCCAGACUUGAAAUUGCCAUUGUAAUUGUUUCAAAUUCUAUAAAAUUUACCAGACUUCUGUUGUCAGUGACUGUAUAUCCAACGCUCUUCCAUCUAUAGCAAAUUUGGGUUAAAACUGAUUAAUUUUAUAUUUUUCUUUCUCGAAAAAGACUAUUCUUGAGAUUUUAUAUUUUAUUCUGUCUCCAUCCAGUGAGGAACAGAACAAAGAUUAUUAUUAUUAUUUUUUUCUGUGUAAAUAUCUUUCUACUCAUUUAUCUUGUUAUGGGUUAAAUGUAUGUUCUUUGUUUUUUAUGUUCUUGAGUUAAAAUGUUCAUAUAAAUGCUAUGUGGUCGUAAAUCUGGAGUUGACUGUUUAUCACAUUGCAAUCUCAUUAUCUAAUUGAGUAUAUGAGAUUAUCAUUUCAAGUAACAAAUAAACUGUUUUUCUUCGACGGAAGUGUAAUUUGUGAAGCUAUUUUUAUCAUCUGCCAAACUAAAAGAUACUUGGCAGAUAGAUGCUAUUGUCUCAUGAGAAACUGCUGCUCUAUGUGAACAUAAUUGAUCACACUAUCUAUAUUUGUGAAUGCAUCUGGUACUGUUUUAAUAUCAACCUGGCAGCAAAGCCUUUUCAACUCUGGAGUGACAAAUAUCUGCAUGAUGUGCACUCUUUGAGAAGUAUUGUCUGAUAUUUCAGCUCUAUAACUGCUCUUCUUUGAUAAUGCAUCUCCUUGAGUUGUAAGAGUUUGAUGUCGUCAGAAAUGACAUGAGAAAUGGGAUUUUUCAAGCAAGGAAAAUGUGAGGUUGCCAAAUGUGAAAAUAUGAGCUUUUCUGUUUUAGUUUCGUGUAUGUUUAUAAUAUACCGAAUAAUAUGAACUAAUCACACGAGUGCUUCAUCAUAAUGGUGCAUGUAAUUAUAUUAAUAUUGUUUAUUAUUUAAAAAUGAGUUUAUGACUGAAGGACAAACAGAUUUGAAAAGAAAAAGCUCGCUUAUUAUAAUAAGCUAUAAUUUUUUAUAUCAUGUCACUGUUGUAGGCACACCGCGAGGCAACUGGAACAGUAUCAUCCAGUGACAGCCGCAUCAUAGAUCCAGUUGCUGCUGCUGAGGAAAUAGCUUUCUGCAAAGCAUGUGCUCGGUUUGGUCUAGGCCUGUAUCUCUAUCAUGAAGAAUAGAUGCUGAAAAAAUCAAGGAGGUUGACCUUCCGUAAUAUAUGGAGUCUAUUUACUUUGUUGAGGAAUAAGGUCAUUCUAAAUAUGUCUGGGUGUAAAUAGUAUUCUCAGAUUAUCGAGUUUGGUUUGUAGAAAGUUAAUCAAAUAGUUUGAUCCUUAUGUGAAAUUGAGGUAAAUUGAACCAUAGUUUGAUCCUUUUAUGGAACAAAUUUAUCAAUUCAUUAAACCAACUCAAUUUGUAUGUGGCUAAGUUGCGAGAAGAACUGCAAUGCAUGUGGCGGGCAGAAUCUGUGUUGUAUGUAUCUUUGUUGGUGUAAAAACCAAUGGGGUAUCUCUUUGUAUGGUAGGCAUAAGAGUCAUUCCACCUGCGCACAGGGUGAGCAAUACAUUGUGCGCAACAAAACAUACGGGCAAGGCAAGUUUUUGUUGCUUGAUUGUGCAAAAUUAAAUAAUUCUCAUGUUAAACCUAGCCUAUCCCUUGUUAGAAAUCUGCACCUUUGCGCUAUGGUGAGCACUCGUAGUUAACGGUUGAUAUUGUUGAUCGCUUUAGAUGGUAAGUACGUCAAUUGGUAAUAUAAUCUGCCAUCUAAUGUGCGAGUAGAAAGUAAUAACUAAAGGCCCAAGAAAGAAUAAAUGGAACUGAUGGGAAAUGUAAAUUCAUACGCUUGCAGUGCUGUCCAAAUGUUAUUGAGCACUUGUAGUUAACGGUUGAUGAUGUCGAUUGCUUUAGAUGGGACGUACGUCAAUUGGUCAUAUAAUCUGCCAUUCUAAUGUACAAGCAGAAAGUAAUAACGAAAGGCCCUAGAAAGAAUAAAUGGAACUGAUGCGAAAUGUAAAUUCAUAUGCUUACAGUGCUGUCCAAAUGUCAUUGAGCACAACUCGAAAACCUCCUAUGACUAAUAUUUACGAAAAUAUGACUACACCUAUUUUAAAUUUUGUGAAAGGAGAUAAUAAAGAGCUUUGACAAAGUGAUACGAACCCCGUCAAGAACUGACGCGACCCUAAUUAAUUUAGUUCCCAAGAUUGAAUCUAAACCGGGAAUGGAAUGGAACCUCGACCCAAUGCUUAUGGAUCAUAAUUCCUUGUGAGAUAGUGGGAGUUAUAGAGAAGCUAAAUGUUGCUAAUGGGAGAUAGUGGGGAGAAUAAGAGAUAUAUGUUAUGAACAUCUACAUUUAUUUUAAUAAAUUCAUAACACUCCCCCUUGGAUGUUCAUUACAAAGAAUAUGCCUCAUUAAAACCUUUACAUAAUUGUUACAAAUUUCUUCUGCCAAAAUUGCCACCGUACACCACCAAUUGGUCUAUAGGCUUCAAAAUCAUGCCUUAGAUCUCCCCACUCCAGAACACCAUUCUGAUACCCUCAUGGUAUUAGCUGAAUUUGACCAGAUCCCAACCAUAAUCCAAAUCCCAAGACAAAUUCCCCGUCAUGAGCUCAUCAAGCUUAUGCCUCUUGAAUGGAUCUCCAACUAUGAACAGUUCUAUAACAAUAUAGCUCCAAUUCAGACAUCUGAAAGCAUGUUUGAAAGACGCCAAGAUUGAACAGUCCGAAUGACUUUUAAACCUCCUCCAAGUGCUCCACAAGAGCCUCAUCGGCUCUCCUUUACCUAUUCUUCAAUGAUCACAGCUGUUCAGACAGCCCAAGAAGACCUGCCUAUUACAGGGUUCAAUUCUGAAGGCUACCCUGUUUAUCCAGCAAAGCAAAAUGGCCAUUUCCUAUGGGAUGCCCCUGGCUCCGGCAUGUGUGACCCAAAUUGUCCCUGCUGGGAUGAUUGGGAAGAGGAUGAUGAUUAUUCCACCACAAGGAAAAAGAAACCCAAAAAGAAAAAAUCUCCAGUCUCAUGUCACCACUAUGAUCCCAAACCACCACAAGAUCCUCCACCUCCACCGGAUCCAUUGCCCUUUUACAAAAAGGAACUCCACUGGAUUGCAAAGCAUUGCAAAUCUGAGACCCCAUCACCAAUCCCACUUCCAUCACCACCACUGCCUUGUAUGAUGUUCUCAUCUACUUCUUCAGACUACUCUUCUUCUUUUCCUCCUUUAGACACUCACACAGAUUCCCAACGAAAUGUUGUGUCCAAACCCUUUGUCCUUUCCCCAAUUACCUCCUCUGGCCACCUUGAACCUCCCAAACCUUUUGAAUUAGUCCUCAACUGGCAAACCCAAAAUGCCAGAGCAUAGAAUGAUACUUUGUUGAAUAUCAAUUCCAAAGUUGAAAAAAUCAGUUUACGAACUGAACACCUUGAGACAAAAGUUGACUCCAUCUCUGCUCAGAUGCAACAGAUUCACCAAAAUCUCCAGUCCAGAAUUACUCAACUCGAUUCUGAGUUACGCGCAAUGCUGGCCCAGCGCUACUAUGGCCCAGAAUUUGACCAAAAAGAAAGGGAAAUCCGACGCUUAAAAGCUGAGCUUGAUCAGAUUGAAUCUAAAAAACAAAGACCUACUCUUUUUACCACAUCACCUCCUAUCCCUUCCAUAGGUCCAACUUAUCAUUAAUUUGCCUCUAUGCUUUCCCCCAUCAGACAGUAUGAUCCUUCCAAGUUAUUUGGCAUGACUCAUACUCUUUUCAGAGACAAUCCCUUACCACCACCACCUAAACCUAAACUAAAGACUAAACCUCAACUGUGACCCGUCACAAUUGAUCCUUCAUCCAUUUUCAUCCCUGGCCAACCAUCUCCUGGUUAUACGCCGACAUCACCGCCAGCUCCUCCAUCAGCCCCUUUAUCCUAACCUCCGACCCAAUCCAAGGAUAAAGAACCCAUGCACCAAUUUAGUGCCCACACAGUCGAUCCUUCACCUACUUCAGAUGACCAAACUUCUGAUUCAAAUCUAGCCAUUUCCGAUAGCCAUACUGAGUCUGACACAGACUCCUCAGUAUCCACCAGUGACUCUGAAAAGUCCUAUGCUGAUAUCACUAAAAUCUUGAUGGCUCAACCUAACCAACCUGCCCAAGGCCAAACUUCUCAUACAUAACCAUAUGUUGAUAUUCCCUCUGAAGUUGAAGAAGAAAUGCCUGAAUCUUCUGCCACAAACCAACCCCCUCCAGCUCAAGCCCAGACCGGUUCCACAAGUCAAAAAUCGUUGAAUGGUCCAUGGUUCACAUUUGAUGAUCUUCCAUCUCAUAAAUGGCGUGACCGACUUAAUGAAAUGUCCACCUGGAUUGACCUCCAAAUGCUACGGCCAGGAGCCACAACUCAAUCAGUCCUUAGAUAAUUUGCUACUCGUUUUACGGGUGCUCUGAGAGAUUGGUUUGAUUCUUUAGGGCGCUACCGCCAAUUACAGUUUGUUGAUUUACCAGAAGUCUCAAGUGCUUUUGUGGUCCUCCAUGAUCAAUUUCUUGGAGACCCCUCUGCAGUUUUUAAAGCUGCAUGCUGAGACUAUCUCAACAUGAAAUGUUGUUCCCUCAAUGCUAAGGAUCUUGAUUUCCAUUACAAACGAAUGUCCCUGCUGUUCUACAAGCUUAAUGGAUUCAAUGAGCCGACAUACAGCAGCAACUCACUGCAUCCAAUCUUGUUCUUGACAACAUCUCUCUUGGCAAAAUCUUCCAGCUUGCCAAAACAUGUCUUGACAAACUUUGUGAGCAGAAACAGUUUAGCCUUGUCUUGCUUGGUCCAAUGCUGUGGAAGUUUACCUGUAACAAGAUAAUUAACUAUAUCAGCAUACCAAGGCAAUACUUCCGCACUCAUUAAUUGUUCAUCUGGAAAUGACUCAUUCAAUAUUAAUGGCUCUGUAAUUAUGUCAAAAUGGAGACGAGAGAGGUGGUCCGCCACAACAUUUUCUGUCCUUUUCUUAUCUUUGAAUUCCAAGUCAAAUUCCUGCAAAAGUAACACCCAACGAAUUAGUCUAGCUUUUGCAUCUUUCUUUGUGAGAAGAUAUUUAAGAGCAGCAUGAUUUGUGAACACAAUUAUUUUACAACCAAUGAGAUAAGAUCGAAAUUUCUCUAAUGCAAAUACUAUUGCUAGCAUUUCUUUUUCAGUAGUUGAAUAGUUCAACUGUGCAUCAUUCAAUGUCAUACUAGCAUAGUAAAUAACAUGGGGAAUUCGAUCAACUCUUUGUCCUAAAACUGCUCCUACUGCAUAAUCAGAUGCAUCACAUAUUAGCUCAAAUGGUAAGCUCCAGUUUGGGGGCUGAAUGAUGGGUGAUGAUGUCAACAACUGCUUUAGUUUUUCAAAUGCCACAAGACAUGAGUCAGUAAAGAUAAAAGGUACAUCCUUAGCAAGUAGAUUGCAUAAGGGUCUAGAAACUUUGCUAAAAUCUUUAAUGAAACGUCUAUAGAAACCAGCAUGCCCAAGGAAAGUGUUAGAUGAUGUAAACAUUGAUCAAACGAGUCACCAAAGACAGAAAAAUCAUCCAUAAAGACUUCAAGGAAUCGUUCAACCAUAUCAGAAAAAAUGUUCAACAUGCAUCGUUGAAAUGUAGCAGGUGCAUUACAUAAUCCAAAUGGCAUUCUCCUAUAUGCAAAUGUGCCAAAAGGACAAGUGAAAGUAGUUUUCUCCUGAUCUUUUGGUGCUAUGGGAAUUUGAUUAUAUCCUAAGUAGCCAUCUAGAAAGCAAUAAAAUUCAUGGCCUGCUAAUCUAUCAAGCAUUUGAUCAAUAAAUGGUAAAGGAAAAUGGUCUUUACGUGUGACAGAAUUCAACUUCCUAUAAUCAAUGCAUACACGCCAUCCUGUAGUCACUCUAGUGGGUAUCAAUUCAUUAUCGGCAUUGGUAACUACAGUGACUCCUGACUUUUUGGGGACAACUUGCACAGGACUGACCCAUGAACUAUCAGAAAUGGGGUAAAUGAUACCUGCGUCUAAUAGCUUAAGGACUUUUGUUCUAACAACUUCUUUCAUAUUAGGAUUUAACCGACGUUGCAUCUCCCUAGUAGUUUUAGCAUUGUAGAUGUUUUGGAUAGCUAAUAUAUCGUUUCGAGAGCUUCGAAACGAUAUAUUAGGGCCCAAAAUCCGACAUCAUAUGCCCAAGUUAUGGUCCAUUUAAGAUCAACGGCUCUACAGGCCAAGGCCCAUGCGGCUCCAAGUUUUAAUUUUAGGGUUUUUUUUUGUGUUUUUAAGUUAAAAUAGGGUUAGCCACCUGAUAUAAACAACAAUUCUAUUGUAGAUGUUUUGGAUAGCUACAUAUUUAUCUAGAUAUCCAAGAUCUUAAAUACAAAAUAUAAGGAAUGUAGCUACAACUUUAGAAUUGAUUUUCUAGCCCUUCUUCUACUUAAGAAAUUGUCCUCUCUGAUGCUUACCACCUUGUUAGCUCGAAUCAAGUGAUGCAAAUCCCACAAUGAAACUUUGAAACCCACUCUUAAUUUGAAGUUUCAACUUCCCAAGAAAGUUCUAAAUAGAUUUAAGACAAACAAAAACUUGACCCAAUGCUUAAGAAAACAUGAACCAAAGGUAUAGGGAAUGAUAUUGAUGCCACACUCAAGAAAAUAGAUGAGAAGGUGAGUGGCCACUAGUUAUUUGAUAAAUUCAAAUAACAUUAAUCUCUAAUUCUCUUACAUAGCAAGGUUGCUGAGUUUAAAUAGGCUAAAAGAAACCCAAGAUCCUAAAAAUACAAAUGGAAACAUUGGAACAACCCUCCAAGAAAAGGUUUGUCUUCACCAACCCACCAUUAUUAAUGCUAGUCAUUGACAAACUUAAUGCUAGCCUACCAUAAUUAAUGAUAUAAUUGAAAAAUUUAAUGCUAACCCACCAUCAUUGAUGGUAGACUUACCUAACACAUUGAAAAACUUGAAACAAAACAAUAAAUGAAGUUGAAUAAACAAAGGGGUCGUUGGAAUUCCAAAGCUUGAACAAGCUGUAAUAAAUUGGUCAUAACUCCUUCUAGAGAACUCCAAAUCUAGCUCUGUAAAAUGCAUUGGAAACCUAACUUAAUAUAGAUUACAUAUUAGUUCGAGCUCAAUCAAUACCAAUUUUAUUCCGAAUUUUCCCUUUCUACAUUGGAUCCAAAUUGUGUAUUUGGCUGCCUUAUAGCUUGAAUAAUGCCAACAAUGCCUUGUCUUCUCUCCAAGCCCAAUUCAUGAUGUCUUGUAUCUUGAAUUGCAUUUUCAGUCCACAUUUUCUCAAUUAAUCCAUUUAAAGCAGCUUGCAUCUUUUUUGCUCUUGCUCUUGUAAUUGGGCCACCAUGAAUGUGAUGGUUCUCAUCAUAUACCCUGCGCACUCAAAAAAAACCCUAGAAACACAAGUUUAUCGGUGCAAGAGGUACACUCCUUUGAUAAGUCAGAAGUUCUUUAGAUUAGAAAAUAUGCAAGACCAAUGUCAUUCAUCAAGCAUAUAAUCUAGCCUAGGAAUGGGAUGUCGAUACUUUAUCGUUAUGUUGUUGAUGGAUCGACAGUCAACAUAUAUCCUCCACGUCCUAUCAUUCUUAGGAACUAAUAAAACUGGAACUGCACAUUGACUCAUGCUUUCUCUCACGUACCUUUUUUUCCAUUAAUUCAUUAACCUGCCUUUGAAGUUCCUUGGUCUCCUCCAGGUUGCUCUUAUAGGAUGAUUAUCUGUUUGGAAUGGUUGCACUGGGUACAAAAUCAAUAUGAUCCUCAAUCCCUUAGAUUGGGGGUAAACCAUAUGGUGCUUUCUUAGGAAAGACAUCCUCAUAUUGCUGCAAAAGAGAAGUAAUAGAACUAGACAAAGUAGGGUCAAAUUCGUUAGUGUUUAAAAAUGCCUCUUUGUACAAAAGUACAAUCAUUGGCUAAUGUGAAAACAAUGCUUUUUUUAUCUCACUCGCUCUCACGUAGAAAUGUUUUUGUUUUCCAUCUGAUUUUCUCUCACAUUUGCCUCGACCUCUUUUUGAAUUUCAAUCUCUUUUUCUCACUCUCUCUCUGUAGGCUCACUUGGUCUCCAUAAACCUGCUUUGGUGUCAAUGGAGCAAGAGUGAUGUUGCGUUGAUUAAAUACAAAUGAAUAUUUGUUGGUGAAACCAUCAUGCUUCACAUGUCUGUCGAAUUGCCAAGGCCACCCAAGUAACAAGUUUCUAGCCUGUACUAGUCAGAACAAGAUGAUCAGACUGCCUUCAUUAUCGCAUAAUUUUCUGAUUCUGAUGAUAUUUCAGUCAUUUCUACAGUUCAAACUGUCAACCAUGUUUCAACCAUUCCCAGACCUUCUCUAAAUAUGUCAAUCCUUCCUUUCAAAUUUCAUAAACUUGUUCCUGUCAUCGGGUUUAUUGACAUUGGUGCAGAUACCAGUAUGAUUGAUCCUUCUGUCCUUCCCUCUGAUUAUUGGGAGAAACACUCGAAACUUUUCCGAGCAGUUAAUGGAGAAACUUUUGAAACCACUUUGAUUACCACCUAUAACAGAACAAAGUCUGUCCUUAGGGCCAAUAGCCCGCAAGUUCUGGUUUCCAGCCGAUAUACACUUAUCCAUCAAAUACCAAAUCCGAAAUUCAUAUUUUGAAAAUAGCUUUUCACGAUCCUGAAAACACAGCACUCACGGCCUUAAAGAGGGUGAACGUUGUGAGAAAACAAUUUCAUUUUACAAAAAUCGAUUUUGGAGGAUAAAAACAGGACUUUUCUGAUGCAGAGGAUCCUUAAGCUUAAGGCAAGUGCAGAGCAUACUUAGUAUUGAAAUUAGAGAUGAACGUAUCCUUAUUAUUCCAAAUAAUUUCCUUGACUCCUAGAAGAUAGAAAGAGUUUAGAGAAACAUGAUAUAAGAAAACUGGAUUUUAUUUCUGAUUAACUCCUGCCUUACAAAAGGGGAGAGAGAUCCUUAUAUAGAGAUCUCGAGGAGGAAAGAAAUAAGGUGGGACUCUUAUCUUUUACAAAAGGAGAAACAUAAUUAUGAAAGCAAUAAAGCACUAAAGCACACCACGCCAAACUUAAAAAAGCAAAAGCAAACUUUAAUAAAGCAAAAGCUAAAGAUUCCAAUGUGUGUCGACAAUCAUGGAGUGGAUGGGUAGUGUGAUGGAGACAUAUCACUAGUUUCUUUCUCAUAUUGGCGCUUGGCAUGACGAAUCUGUCUCUGAUCAAGGGAUUCUUCAGCUUGCAGAUAUUUGUCUUCAUCUGCAUCGGUCAUUUUGGAUGUGGAAGGACCAGGAGAGUUUGGAUUGGUGACAGUAUAUGGGGUAUGUUCAGUAUGAAGAAGAGACUGAAAAUCUUCCCAAGGAUCCUAAGCGUCUUGGAAUAAGACAUUAGUGUAAUCAGGACGUUGUUCCAUGACAAGAAUUCCAUGUGGACUUGAACUUGAACCUGGAGUACAGGCCUGUGUCUUUGGAACUAUUUCCAAGCUGUGUGAUGGUCCGACAGAGGUGUGGUGGAUGUUUGUGGCCGGUGGUUGAACAUUGUUAAGUUCCAUGAGAUAAGCUCGAAGAGCAGAUGUGACUGAUGUAUCAUGGAUGAGAGGAUAAAGAUGGGGAUAAGUUUUCCAUUCAUAAGCCAUGUCUUGAGUCCAGAAGUCUCUGGUUUCUGGGUGUUGAAAAUAUGGCCGGUGAACAAUGAAAACUGUGGUGAACAUGUUUGCUUCGUGUUCUGGCAUCCUAUUUAAUCCGUGAAAAGUACAUAGAUUCUGGAGCGGUUUACGCCACCAUGUGAGGGGUGAAUACCAUUCUAGGAGAGUCCAUAAAAGGUCAGAGGAGAACUCAAGAGUGGUGAUGUGUCAGAGGACUGGUUUAACAGGGAAGACCAGUUUUGUAGCAUACAAGGUUGUGAGACACCACAUAUACCAUAACUCAUCUUCUGAGAUGGACAGGUGAGACAGGGUGAGACCUAUGAGAAACAAGUUUUCCAUACAGAGUAUAGGAAAACGAUAAGGAAUCUUACUGUGGACAUUGAAGAAAUACCGGUAGAGGAAUUUCUUAGCAAAGUCUUGGAUUUGGUAGGCUGAAGAAAAAGGAAUGUUCAUGGGAAAAGAUCUUUGGUUGAGAGUUUUGAAAGGAAGUUGUCGAUUCAUGGCUAUGACUGGGAUGAUGUAAGUUGAAGAGAGGAGUGAGGGUUUAUUUAUAGCCGGGCGUGUAAGGAAGUCGGGGAUGAGGUUCUAUUUACCUUUGAUAUGCUGGACAGUAAAGUCAUAUUUGGAGAACCAAGUUUUGAGGUUGAGUAGCUGCUUGUCAGGAAGCAACUUGUUCUUGAAAUCAAAGAUUUUAGGAAAAGAGGAAUUGUCCAUGUUGAUAAGGAAUUUGUGGCUGAUUAGAUGAAAUUCAAAAUUUUUGAUUCCAUAUUUUACCACCAAAAUCUCUUUGUAGAUCACAUGAUAGUUCUUUUCAGAUUCUUUGAAAUGUCCGCUUGCAUAGGCACAGAAGUAGUCCAUGCCUUGUAUUCUUUCGAGGAGAAUGGCACUCCAGUAACAUCACUGGCAUCUGUCUGCAGAAUGCGUUGUCCAGUUGUAGGAAUUCUGAGAGGAGGAGGUGACUGGGCUAUCACCUUUAGCUGUUUAACAGCUUCUGUCUGUGCUGGUCCCCAUGGAGGGCACUGCUUUUUGAGCAUGCGCCACAGCUGGCUUGUGUGGACUGCAACUUUUGGAAUAAAAUCACGGACAUAAUUAACAAUCCCAAGGAAUUGUUGUAUCUGCUUUUUGUUGAGAUGUGUGUCCGGGAACUUUAAUAAUUCAGUUGCAAUGUGUGGACUAGGUUGAUAAUGGCCAUUUGUGAUCACCAUUCCAAGAAAGUCAAUUGAUUCCUUUGCUAUGCUGUUUUUCUUUUCAGAAAGCAUGAUUCCGUGUUCCUGCACAAUAUGAAAGAAAUCCAAAAGGAGUUUCUGGUGGCUAUCAUGAUCAGAUGAGAAUAAUAAAAUAUCAUCGAUGUAGACCAAAGCAUGAUGAAGGAUAGGACUGGAAAUUUUUGUCAUGGCCUUUUGAAAUAAUGAAGGAGCUACUUUAAGAUCAAAGGGCAUAACAGUCCACUGAUAGUGAGCAUCAGGAAUGCAGAAGGCAGUUUUGGGUCGGUCAACUGGUGAAAUACCAAGUUUCCAGAAACCAGCUUUUAAAUCAAACUUAGAGAAGAUACGUGCCCCUUAAAGAUGGACAAACAGAGUUUGGAUUUUUAGAAGGGGGAACUUAUCAUCUUUAAGGAAAGAGUUGAGUGGCUGGUAAUAAAUAACUAACCGCUCUUACCAUGAACUAAUUCAGACCUUUUUUCAAUGUAGAAGGCUUGACAAGCCCAAUCUGAAUCAGUUGGUUCAAUCAGACCUUGCUGAAGCAAUUGAGAACAUUCUUGCUUUGCAAGUAAGAGGUCUGAAGGAGACAUACCUGGAUGAGAGGCUUUUGUAGGGUUUAUGUCUUCGUUGAGUUUGAAAGGAAGGCAAAUGAAGAAUUAUUCAUUUUUCCAGAGAGGGGAAGGAUGAUGAAAUUGAGAAUGAUUUUCUGGACAAAACUCAAGAAGUUUUUGUGAAAUAUGACUGUAAGGAGUUGGGACAUCAGAAAGUGUAUACAGACGAAGCAUAUCUGUAUAAGGCAAGAACAUCUGUUUGUAGCGAAUCCCAGAACUAGUGGAGGAUGUCAAAACCUAUGAGCAAGUCUUUGUCUGGAAGAGUGGAUGCUACAACCUUUUUCCAAAUAAUGCAAUUCGGAAAGAAUUGAAUACCAAUGGGUUUUUGGGUAAUCAGAGUUGUUUCAAAUGUUUCACCAUUGACUGCUCUGAAUAAUUUGGAAUGGUUUUCCCAACAAUCUGAGGGUAGGACAGAAGGAGAAGGAUCCAUCAUACUGGUAUAUGCACCAGUGUCGAUAAACUCGAUGACAGGAAUAGGUUUAUGAAACUUUGAAGGAAGGAUUGACAUUUUGAGAGAAGGUCUGGGAAUAGAUGAAACCUGGUUGACAUUUUGGGCUGUAGAGAUGAUAGAAAUGUCAUCAGAAUCAUAAGAUUCUGCGAGAAUGAAAGCAGUCUGAUCAUCUUGGCUUGACUGUUCAGAGAAGUUGGAUUCAACAUCUUCAUUUUCAGAUAACAAUGAAAAAUGUUGGAGAUGCUGGAUAAGACGAACAGCUUUGGCAAAUUUAUGAGGACAAUUUCGAGCAAAGUGAUCGCGUUUCUUACAAAUGAAACAAUGGUUAUGCUUUUUUUUCUGUAUUGGGAAACAUCUUUUUUCUUGAAAUACCGGAAAGGCUUUUUGGAGGAUGAUUUUUUGUGGAAGUGUUUCUGGAAGAGUUUUUUCUUCUUGGUUGGACAAAAACAUUUCUUCUCAUCUUUGCACUCGAUUUGGAGAUAGGGUUUUUUGCAAGCUUCAUAAAAGGGUUUCUUAUCUGCCAUGAACUCUUUUUGUUCACAGAUUUUGUCAAGGCAUAACAUCGCUGUCUGAAAGAUCUUGCCGAGAGAGAUGUCAGCUAUGCUGAGAUUAGUGGCAGUGAGUUGUCUUUGAAGAUUAAGUUGAAGUUCUGAAGGAAAUGAAGCUAUGAAGACAUGCUUAAGGGACGGUUCAUUGAAAUCGUUCAGCUUGUAAACUAGAAUACUCAUUCUUUUGUAAUGAGUUUCUAAAAGAUGUCUUUUGAGAGAACAACAUUUUAUCUGGUGAUAUUCUUUUCGAUCUACUUCUUUGGAAGCUGUGCGUUCACCAAUGAAUUGUUCAUGGAUGAUAUUGAGUGCUAUGCCAAUUGGGGAUUGCAUGAACUGGAUCUGUCUGUAUUCUCCCAAGCUUUCUAACCAAUGUCAUAAAGAACCCAUUAAGCGGGCUAUAAAUUCACGAAGAACACUUUCUGGGUGUGUAUUUGGUUUAGUUCCUUGGAGAUCAAUCCAUGCAUCAAACUCUUGAAGGCGAGCAGGCCAUUUGUGACAUGGAAUGUCAUCAAGUGUGAACCAAGAUACUGAAGAUGGUUUGGUUGAGUGAUUAGAAACGGGUGGAGGCAUUGAUGGUUAUGUUUCUGUUGGAGUUGCUUGAUUUUCAAUAUCAGAAGAACUUUCUUCAACAAUAGGUGUGGCAGUUGAAGCACUAGGAUCCUCAGUCUUAGUAGUCAUCAAUAUGCUUGUAAUGUCAGUAUAUUCGGAUUCAAAGUCAGUGGAGGUACUGACUGAGUUUGUGGAUGAGGAGGAGGAGGGAGAUGGGUUAGACUCAGAUGGGUUUGACUCAUAGAUUGUUUCUGGCUCAGAGGAGUCAGAAGAUGUGUUCUGGACAGUAUGAUAAUGAUACUGAUCCAUUGGGCCCUUGUCCUUUUUAGGAGGUUCAGGAGUAGCUUUUGGUGAAUCGUCUGGUGGUACCGGAGGAACAGAAGAAGAUGAAGUGGCCUUUGACUUUGGUUCUGAGAUCUUGACUUUGGAUUUUGAUUUUUUAGGUGAAGAUGUGAGAAUCCAAAGAACUGAUUGUAAACCGGCGGUUGUGGCUUGGAUGGAGUGUAGAAAGGUGCAUAAGUGUGGAUGAUAUUUGGGUAAAAAGUGAUGGCCUGGUUUUUUCAGUAUCAAUCCUAGCUAGCUCAGCUUUGAGUCGUCUUAUCUCCGCAUCUUUUUUGUUGAACUCUGGACCCCAGAUGUGGUUGUUGAUCAUUUGUCUGAGAUCUGUAUCUAGCUCAGAGAUACUAUCUUGUAGAAGUCAAUCUUAUGAAGAAUCUUUUCCCCCACUUGAAAAACAAACAGACACAUAGACCUUGUACAAGUUGUAGGGACUCAUGACGGGAAAUUUCCAGAUAAAGAUUUACUUAUAGGUUUUGACAUUCUUCAUUUGGUUAAAAACCUAUUUCUCACCAGUUCUGGAGUUCGCUACAAGCAAAUGUUCUUGCCUUACACAGAUGCACUAUGUCUGUAUGCACUUUCCGAAACACCAUCUCCAUACAGUCAUAUUUCACAAAAGUUCCUAGAGUUUUGUCCAGAAAACCAUUCACAGUUCCACCAUCCUUCACCUCUUUGGAAAAAUGAACAAUUCUUCAUUCAUCUUCCUUUCAAACUUAACGAAGACAUAAACCCCACAAAAGCAUCACACCCGGGUAUGUCUCCUUCAGACCUCUUACUUGCUAAGCAAGAAUGUUCUCAGUUGCUUCAACAAGGUCUUAUUGAACCGACUGAUUUAGAUUGGGCUUGUCAAGCCUUCUAUGUUGAAAAAUGAUCUGAACUAGUUCGUAGUAAAAAGAGGUUAGUUAUUGAUUACCAACCACUUAAUUCUUUCCUCAAGGAUGAUAAGCUCCCCCUUCCAAAAAUCUAGACCCUGUUUGUCCAUCUUCAAGGGGCUCGUAUCUUCUCUAAGUUUGAUUUAAAAAUUGGUUUUUGGCAACUUGUUAUUUCACCAAUUGACCGUCACAAAACUACCUUCUGCAUCCAUGAUGCCCAUUAUCAGUAAACUGUUAUGCCUUUUGGUCUUAAGGUUGCUCCUUUAUUAUUUCAAAAACCCAUGACAACAAUCUUCAGUCCUAUCCUUCAUCAUGCUUUGGUAUACAUUGAUGAUAUCUUAAAUUUUCCUCUGACCAUGAGAGCCACCAGAAGCUCCUUUUGGAUUUCUUUCAUAUUGUGCAGGGACACAGAAUCAUGCUUUCUAAAAAGAAAAGCAGCAUAGCAAAGGAAUCAAUUGACUUUCUUGGCAUGGUGAUUAAAGAUGGCCAUUAUCAACCUGGUCCACACAUUGCAACUGAAUUAUUAAAGUUUCCGGACACACAUCUCAACAAAAAGCAGAUCUAACAAUUCCUCGGGAUUGUUAAUUAUGUCUGUGAUUUCAUCCCUAAAGUUGCAAUCCACACAAGCUAACUGUCCCGCAUGCUCAGAAAACAGUGUCCUCCAUGGGGACCAGCAUAGGCAGAAGCUGUCCAACAACUAAAGGUGAUAGCCUAGUCACCUCUUCCUCUCUAAAUUCCCACAACUGGACAACGCAUUCUACAGACCGAUGCCAGUGAUGAUUACUGGAGUGCCAUCCUUCUUGAAGAGAUAAAUGGUGUACGUCACUUCUGUGCACAUGCAAGCGGGCAAUUCAAAGACUCUAAAAAUAAUUAGCAUGUGAUAUACAAAGAGAUUUUUGCAGUCUAGUAUGGAAUCAAAAAGUUUGAAUUCCAUCUAAUCAGCCAUAAAUUCCUUAUCAACAAGGACAACUUCUCUUUUCCUCGAAUCUUUGACUUCAAAAAUAAGUUGCUCCCUGACAAACAACUGCUCAGCCUCAAAAACUGGUUUGCUAAAUAUGAUUUUAUUGUCCAACACAUAAAAGGCAAACAGAACCUCAUCUCAGACUUCCUUACACGUCCGGCUAUAAAUAAACCCUCACUUAUUUCCUCCAUUCACACCAUCCCAGUUAUAGCCAUGAAUUGUCAACUUCCUUUCAAAGCUCUCAACCAGAGAACCUUCCCGAUGAACAUUCUUUUUCAUUCAGCCUACCAGAUCCAAGACUUUGCAAAGAAAUUCCUUUACCGAUAUUUCUUCAAUGUUCAAAGCAAAAAGCCUGAUCGCUUUCCUUCCCUCUGUAUGGAAAACUUGUUUCUCACAGGUCUUACCCUCUCUUCCUUAACCAUCUGCGAAAAUGAGUUAUGGUACAUGUGGUGCCUCACUAUCCUGUAUGCUACAAAACUGGUUUUCUCUGUCCAACCAGUCCUCCGCCAUCUCACCACUCCUGAAUUCUCCCCAGAACUUCUGUGGACCCUCCUUGAAUGGUAUUCACCACUCACGUGGUGGCGUAAACAACUCAAAAAUCUAUGUACUUUUCACAGAUUAGACAAGAUACCAGACCAAGAAGCCAACAUGUUCACUACAGUCUUCAUCGUUCAUAGACCUUACUUUCAGCACCCAGAAACAGAGACUUCUGGACACAAGAUAUGGCCUAUGAAUGAAAAACUUAUCCCCAUCCUUAUACCCUCAUCCAUGAUACAUCUGUUACCUCUGUUCUCAAGUCAUACCUCAUGGAACUCAACAAUGUCCAGCCACCUGCCAUAAACAUCCACCACACCUCUGUUGGACCAUCACAAACCUUGGAAAUUGUUCCAAAGACACAAACUUGUACUCCAAGUUCCAGUUCAAGUCCUCAAGGAAUCCUUGUCAUGGAACAACGUCCUAAUUACACUAACGUCUUAUUCCAAGACGCUCAGGAUCCAUGAGAAGAUUUUUAGUCUCUUUUCUAUACUGAAAAUUCCCAUUAUACUGUCAUAGACCCAGACCCUCCUGCUACAUCAGUCCCAAAAGAAAUAACUCACACUGAUGAAGAAGCCUAUCUGCAAGCUGAAGCUUAUCUUGAUCACAAACAGAUCCGUCGUGCCAAACGACAAUAUGAAAAAGAGAUUGGUGAUGUGUCUCCAUCACGCUACCCAUCCACUCCAUGAUUACAAGACACGCAUGGGAAUCUUUAGCUUUUACUUUUUUUUAAAAGUUGGCUUUAAUAAUUAGACAAGGGUCCUGUUUUGUCUAAAGUGUGUCUUUUGCUUUUUUGCUUUUUCUUUUUUAUGUUUGGCGUGGCGUGCUUUUGUAAAAGAUAAGGGUCUCACCUUAUCUCUCCUUCCUCGAGAUCUCUAUAUAAGGAUCUCCCUAUUAGGGGUGGGCAAAAUCGGAUUCGGAUCGGGUUCGGGUUGAUCCGAUCGGAUUUCGGAUCAAUCGGGUUGGGGAAAAAAUCAUCCGAACGCAAUCCGAAUUAUUAACCCGAUCCGAUCCGAUCCGAAUAUAAUUCGGAUCGGAUCGGAUCGAAUCGAAAAUUCAGAUUAAUUCGGAUUGGAUUCGGAUUUAAAAGCAUGCGGGUUAUAUCCAUUCUAUAUUUCUAGGUUAAUUUCAGAAGCAAUCAAGUAAAACAAUCAACCUUUUCUCAAGAUAUAAUUUCGUUUUAAGCUUUUUAAAUUAAAUUAUUUAAAACAAUAUAGUCAAUACCACCAAAAACUUAGUGACAGUGAAUGUGGAGGUGAAUUUAGUUUUAGCGGUUGUGGUAACCGGUGAAGCCAGUGGCAGCAAGCGGUAGCAGUCGAGGUGCAGUAGAUUCCAUUGGCACGUCGCGGUUGCAGCGAUGGCUUAGCUUUGCACGAUCACGUCGAUGACUGAUGGCUGCUGGUUCACGCGGUUGCAUCUCCGAUCUGCUGACUGCUGCUUCUUGCAGUUGCAUCUCCGAUCUGCUCGCCGCUGCUUCGCUGACAUCUCCGAUCUCCGAUGGCUUGGCUUCGCACGAUCGCGUCGGUGACUACUGGUUGUUGGUUCGCGACUUCACGCUGCUGCAUCUCCGAUCUGCUGGUUGCUGCUUCUCGCGGUUGCAUCUUCGAUCUGCUGGCUGCUGCUUCGCUGUUUGGCAUCUCAACAUUUCCGAUCUCCGAGGCCAAACCUUUAUUUGUGUGUGACCGUGUGUGGUGUGAGUGUGGGUGUGUGUGCACUUGCAGAUUAUUUUAAUUUAGAUCUAAGAUUUGCUUUGUGUGUGGUGUGAAUCCGAUUUUGUUUUGUUUGCCACUUUGUUAGUUUGUUACACUGAGUUUUUUUUUUAAGCCAACCCGAUCGGAUUUUCGGAUCGAAUCGGGUUUCAUCCGAUCCGAUCAUGAUCCAAUUGGGUUGGCAAAGUUACACCCGAUCGGAUUUUGUUAAAAAUCCGAUCCGAUCCGAACCCGAUAUUUUUUGGGUCGGAUCGGAUCAUAUCGGAUCGGGUCGGGUCGGGUAUUUUGCCCAGCCCUACUCCCUAUCCCUUUGUAAGGCAGGAGUUAAUCAGAAAUAAAAUUCAGGUUUUCUUCACAUCAUGUUUCUCUAAAAAAUUUUCUCUCUUCUAGGAAUCAAAGAAAUUAUUUGGGUUAAUAAUGAUACGCUCACCUCUAAAUUUCUAAACUGAGUAUGCUCUGCACUUGCCUUAAGCCUAAGGAUCCUGUGCAUCAGAAAGGUCCUGUUUUAUCCUCCAAAACUGAUUUUUAAAAUGAAAUUAUUUUCUCACAACGUUCACCCUCUUUAAAGACCAAAAGUGCCUUGUCUUCGGCUGGUAUAGUGAAAAACUAUUUUCAAAUAUGAUUUUCAAUUUUUGGUAUUUGACGGAUAAGUGUAUAUCGGCUGGAAACCAGAACUUGCUGGCUAUUGGCCCAAAGGACAUACUUUGUUCUGUUAUAGAUCUGGUGUAACAACGCCACGUACAUAUACCGACUAGUAUAGAUAUUAUUUUGUAAUGAAUAAAAGGCAAAUCACUCUUGUACCAUUAACACCUAGGCAAUUGUACGAGGAUCAAAUGUCAAUACAAAAAGAGAGUUAUACAAAAAAAUGAAAAUGAGAGUACAAAAGAAAGAGAGAUUGAGAGAAAAGCAAGUGAAAAGAUAGAAAAAAAAUAUUGUUGAGAGAAAAGAGAGGCAGCAAGUGAACUUGUUUGCAAAAGAGAGCGAGGUUAAGAGGGUUUUCUUUUCAAAACAGCCUAUCGUUGUACUUUUGUGCAAAGAGGCUUGUUUACACACUAAUGAGCUUAACUUUUCUUUGCCUAGUGCUAUUGUGACUCUUUUGCAGGACUUUGAUGAUGUGUUUCCAAAUGAAGUCCCUAACGGUUUGCCACCUAUUAGGGGAAUUGAGCAUCAAAUAGACUUCGUCCCUGGAGCUACCAUUCUUAAUAGACCUGCAUAUAGAAGUAACCCCGAGGAGACAAAGGAGCUUCAAAGACAAGUUGAAGAACUCUUGGCAAAAGGAUAUGUGAGGGAGAGCAUGAGUCCAUGUGCAGUACCAGUUUUACUAGUGCCCAAAAAGGAUGGAACAUGGAGGAUGUGCGUUGACUGUCGUGUAAUUAAUAAAAUCACUGUAAAGUAUCGACAUCCUAUUCCUAGACUUGAUAACAUGCUUGAUGAAUUGCAUGGUUCUUGUGUGUUUAGUAAAAUUGAUCUUAAAAGUGGAUAUCAUCAAAUUAGGAUUAGAGAGGGAGAUGAGUGGAAAGUUCCUUUAAAACAAAAUAUGGUUUAUAUGAGUGGUUAGUGAUGCCAUUUGAGUUAUCUAAUGCACCUAGCACUUUUAUGAGGUUAAUGAACCAUGUUUUGCGUGCUUUUAUUGGUAAAUUCGUAGUUGUCUAUUUUAAUGAUCAAAAUGAACACAUUGAACAUUUGCAAAGUGUAUUGACUGUUUUAAGGAAGGAAAAGUUGUAUGGUAAUUUGAAGAAGUGUUCCUUUUGCACAAAUUAGAUUGUUUUUCUUGGUUAUGUUGUAAGUGCUAAAGGAAUUGAGGUUGAUGAAGAGAAGGUAAAGGCUAUUAAAGAGUGGCCUACACCUAAAAGUGUAAGUCAGGUAAGAAGUUUUCAUGGUUUGGUUAGUUUUUAUAGAAGAUUUGUGAAAGAUUUUAGCACCCUUGCUGCACCAUUAACUGAAAUUGUGAAGAAACAUGUGGGAUUUAAGUGGGCUAGUGAACAAGAAAGGGCAUUUAAUCUAAUUAAGGAGAAAUUGGUUUCUGCACCUUUACUUGCUUUACCUGAUUUUACUAAAACUUUUGAAAUUGAGUGUGAUGAUUCAAGUAUAGAUAUUGGAGCUGUUUUGAUGCAAGAAGGGCGUCCAAUUGCUUACUUUAGUGAGAAAUUGGGUGGAGCAGCCCUAAACUAUCCUACCUAUGACAAGGAGAUGUAUGCAUUGGUGAGAACAUUGGAAACUUGGCAACAUUAUCUUCUACCUAAAGAGUUUGUUAUACACACUAAUCAUGAGUCCUUGAAGCAUUUGAAAGGGCAAGGUAAAUUACAUAAGAGACAUGCCAAAUGGGUUGAAUUUAUUGAGCCAUUUCCUUAUGUGAUCAAAUAUAAACAAGGUAAGGAGAAUGUGGUGGCUGAUGCAUUAUCUAGAAGGUAUGCACUUAUCUCUACAUUAAAUGCAAAGUUGUUAGGAUUUGAGUACAUUAAAGAAUUAUAUGUUAAUGAUCCUGAUUUUGCUAAUGUGUUUAAUGCUUGUGAGAAAGUUGCAUUUGGUAAGUUCUAUAGGCAUGAUGGGCUUUUAUUUAGAGAAAAUAAAUUGUGUGCGCCUCAUAGUUCUUUGCAUGAAUUGCUUGUGCGUGAAGCUCGUGGGGGUGGUUUAAUGGGACAUUUUGGCAUUGCAAAGACUUUAGAUGUUUUAAAAGAACACUUCUUUUGGCCACAUAUGAAACGUGAUGUUGAAAGAAUAUGUGAGAAGUGUAUCACUUGUAAACAUGCUAAGUCUAGAGUUUUACCCCAUGGAUUGUAUAACCCUCUACCCAUACCUAGUGAACCUUGGGUUGAUAUUUCUGUGGACUUUGUUUUGGGUUUACCUAGGUCAAAAAGGGGAAAUGAUUCUGUUUUUGUUGUUGUUGAUAGGUUUUCAAAGAUGGCACAUUUUAUUCCAUGUCACAAAACUGAUGAUGCAACAAACAUAGCUAAUUUGUUUUUCAAGGAAAUAGUCAAGUUGCAUGGAGUACCAAGGAGCAUAGUUUCAGAUCGAGAUGCUAAGUUCUUGAGCCACUUUUGGAAAAUUUUGUGGGGUGAGUUGGGUACUAAACUUUUAUUUUCUACUACUUGUCAUCCACAAAAUGAUGGAUAAACUAAGGUUGUAAAUAGAACUCUGUCUACUUUGUUGCAUGCCAUUAUUCAAAAGAACUUGAAAACUUGGGAAGAAUGUUUGCCACAUGUUGAAUUUGCUUACAAUAGAACUGUCCAUUCAGCUACUAAAUUUUCACCAUUUGAGAUUGUAUAUGGUUUUAAUCCAUUAACUCCUUUGGAUUUAUUACCUUUACCUAUUGAUGAGCAUGCUAGUAUGGAUGGUAAAAAGAAAGCUGAACAAUAUGCUACUCAACAAUUGCAUGAGAGAACACGUCAACACAUAGAAAAGAGAACUGAACAAUAUGCUACUCAAGCCAACAAAGUACGUAAGCAAGUGGUUUUUCAGCCUGGAGAUUGGGUUUGGGUGCAUAUGAGAAAGGAGAGGUUCCCAACACAAAGGCGUUCCAAGUUGCUUCCAAGGGGAGAUGGUCCAUUUCAAGUGGUUGCACGGAUCAAUGACAAUGCCUACAAAUUGGAUCUUCCUGGUGAGUAUAAUGUGAGUGCUACUUUUAAUGUUUCUGAUCUUUCUCCUUUCGAUGCAAGUGAAGAUUCGAGGAUGAAUCCUUUUGAGGAGAGGGGGAAUGAUGAGAACCAUCAAGGGAAUACUAUUAAAACUUCAAGUGAUCCUUUGCACAUUCAUGGAGGCCCAAUUACAAGAGUAAGAGCCAAAAAGAUGUAAGCUGCUUUCAAUGGAUUAAUUGAGAAAAUAUGGACUGAAAAUGCAAUUCAAGAUGCAAGACAUCAUGAAUUGGGGUUGAAGAGAAGACAAGGCAUUGUGGGCAUUAUUCAAGUUAUUGGGCAGCCAAAUACACAAUUUGUAUCAAAUGCAGAAAGGUCAAAUUCGGAAUAAAAACUGUAUUGAUUGAACUAGCAGUAAUGUGCAAGCUAUAUACCGUUGGAAAGAUAAUUAAGUUAGCUUUCCAAUAAAUUUUAUAGAGCUAGAUUUGAAGUUCUCUAGAAGGAGUUAUGACCAAUUCAUUACAGCUUGUUCAGACUUGGGAUUUUCAACGACUCUUUUGUUUUUCAACUUCAUUUGUUUGUUUUGUUUCAAGUUUAUCAAUGUGUAAGGUAAGUCUACCAUCAAUGAUGGUGGGCUAACAUUAAGUUUGUCAAUGAUAGCAUUAAUUAUAGUAGGCUAGCAAUUUGUCAAAGAUAGCAUUAAUUAUGGUGGGUUGGUGAAGACUUUUGAAGCAUCCUUUGACAAACCCACUUGGAGGGUUGUUCCAUUGUUACCAUUUGUAUUUUUAGGAUCUUGGGUUUCUUUUAGCCUAUUUAAAUUCAGAGAUGAAUGUUAUUUGAAAUUGAAAGAUUAUUAUUUCUUUGGUUCUUUUGAGAACUAGUGAACUUAUCAAGAAUUUGCAUUCUUGUGGCGUUUCAAAUUAGACUUAUCACUCACCUUCUCAUUUAUUUCUUGAGUGUGGCAUCAAUAUCAUUCUCUAUACAUUUGGUUCAUGUUUUCUUAAGCAUUGGGUCAAGGUUUUGUUAGUCUUAAAUCUGUUUAGAACUUUCUUGAGAAGUUGAAAUUACAAAUUAAGUGUGGGUUUGAAAGUUUUAUUGUGGGAUUCGCAUCAACUAUGGUACAUAUUUAGGGGCAUAGGGACGUUUCUCUUUUGUUUUCACAAAUCUAUGAUAGAUAGACCACCAAGAAAUUUUGGCUUAUUAAGGAGCGUUGGCCUCUGUAACAAUCAAAUAGAAACUUGAUAUUUUUCUUAUAUCCUUUCAAGUUAUUUGCAUCGCCAUUAAAUAAGCAAGUUACAACUAGAACACAUAUUAGCAAGCAAAACCAUAACAACAUAACGAUAUAAGUACUAAUCUUAUGCUAGCUUAUUGGACUCAACAACUCUUGAAUUAUUCAACCAAAGGGGAAAAAAAUAAAAGACACAAAAGUAUAACAGUAACAUAUUUCUGGAUCAGGAUUUUCUCCUGAUCUGAUCAUGUCUUGAGCAAAUAACGCAAUUUUUAAUUGGUUGUUAAUAAAUAAAAAAAUAAAAGAAGUUAAAUCUUACCCAUACACUACCACUAAAAACACAUGACAGAAGAACUUUAAAAGCUCAGUAGAGCUAAGAUCAGGAGAGGAUUUUAUUCUCAUAUUUCCACCUAGGGAUGGCAAAAAUCCCCACGGGGACGGGUACCCUCGGAGAUUUUCUCAAUUCGGGGAGGGUAUGGGGAUAAUUUCAUACCCAAUUUCUUAUUCGGGGAGGGGACGAGGAAAUUUUUUUACCCAAUUUCUUAUUCGAGGAGGGGACGAGGAUGAGGUGGAAUCCCCAUCCCCUACCCAUUUCCUCAUUUUAAUUUUUUAAAAUUACUAGUAAAU
rnacentral:lncRNA from 1 species